UUGUUAUAAUUAGGUCCUUAACUGUGAAAAAUUGAUGCAAUUAGACCCCUACCGUUAAAUUGGUUGAACGAGAUUAAAUUUAUGCUGAUAUGACUUAUUAAAAUGAUGUGGUAGACUCAGGGCAUGGUGAUCUGAAUCAGAGACCACCACAUCAUCAUCAUCUUCAUCUCCAUCUUCUCGAAUAGAAAGAGUGUAAGGUGUAAGAAAGGUGAGCGUGCAAAUGUGUAAAGUUUAUGGUGUAAGAAGGAUGUAAAAAGGGUGUAGGUGUGGUGUAUAAAGUGUGAAAAUGUGUAGAAAAUAUGUAGGAAUGGGGGAAGUAAGGUGUAGGGUGUAGAAAAUGUAAUGAAAAAGGUGUAAAAAGAGUGUAAUAAUGAUGUAGAGUGUAAAAAGGGUGUAAUAAUGAUGUAGAGUGUAACAAGGGUGACAGUGUAGGGUGUAAAGUGUAAGAAUGGUUUAAGAAGGGUGUAAGAUAUGUGUAGAAAAAGGUGUAGCAAAUGUGUAUGAAGGUUGUAGAAAGAGUGUAGAAAAUGUGUAUGAAAUGUGUAGCAAAGGUGUAAGAAAGGUUUAGAAAAUGUAUACAGAAUUAGUGUAGAAAUAAUGUUGGACAGGUGUAGUAAAAGGUGUAAGAAAAAUGUAGGAAAGGUGUGGGAAAGGUAUAAGAAUGAUGUAGGGAGGAUGUAGGAAAUGUGUAAGAAUGGUGUGGGAAGUGUGAAAGCGUGUAGAAAGGGUGUAGAAAAUAUAUAAGAAUGGUGUAAGUAUGUUGUAGGGUGUGGAAAGGGUCUAAGAAAAGUGUAAUUAUAAGCUUGUUGGAAGUAUAGGAAAUGUGUGAGAAAGGUGUAAGAAGAGUGUGAAAAGGGUUUAAGAAGGGUGUAAGAUAUGUGUUGGAAAGGUGUAUGAAUGAUAUAAGAAAAAUGUAAGAAUGUUGUAGAAAGAGUGUAGAAAUGGUAUACACAAGGUUUGUGUGAGAUGUAGGGUAUAAGCUAUAGAAAAUGUGUAGGAUGGAUGAGAUAAGGGUCUGAGAAGAGUAUAAACAAGGUGUAGGGUGGGUGUUAAUAAGGGUGUAUGCUAUAAGGUUUAAAAAGGGUGUUAAAAAAAUGUAGGAAAUUUAUGGGAAAGGUAUAGGAAGAGUGUAAGAAGAAUAUAUGAAGGGUGUAAGAAGAGUGAAGGUAAAUGGUGUAUUGUGUAAGAAGGGUUUAAAAAUGAUGUAAUAAAUAUUUAAAAAUUGUGUAAAAUAUGUGUAGAAAAGACGUAAAAGAACGUAAGAAAUGUAUAGAAAAAUUUUAGGAAUUGUG
rnacentral:lncRNA from 1 species